UUUACUUCAAUUGUUUCAAUUAUUUCAUCUCUCACCAAAACACCACCGCAAGCGAAAAUCCUUCUUUCUCCUCACCACUUACCAUCAUCACUCAACUAUUUCUCUGAAGUCAAGUGAGUUGAUGACUGAUCUAUUGAUCUUUCACUUGUGAUUUUUCAGAGAUAAAAACCCUAGCCGUUUCUCCACCUUUACCUGCUUUUUGCAGAUGAUUUUUUUCUAUAAUUUGAACUGAUUUCAAUUCGAUGUAAUUGAAUCUGUUUUUCGCUGAGGGGAAUCUUUUGGUAUUUGAUUUAUUCGUUCGUAUUUUUGUCUUCUGAUAAUGUUGAAGUAAAAAAGAAAUUUGAAUUUGGAUAGAUAGGGUUCGAUUUUCUUCUGAAAAACUACUUAUUUUGAUUUUCUUCUGUAACUUUCCAAACCCUAAGUAAAUGUUUCUUUAGAUUUAUGAUUCAAUUGGAAACCCUAACUAAUUUUUGUUUUGAUUUUAGUUUCAGACACCCCAAAUUUCAAAUAGGGCAUCUGUUUAGGUAAGGUUUACGGAUCUUUAGCUCGUGAUGGAAAGGUUAGAGGGAAAACUCUAUCUAAACUAGACAAAAAAACCAGCCUAGAGGUAGAGCUCACAUGAGGAAUCUAAUAACUACCGGUAAGAAUCAGUACUCUCUUAAGAAGGCCAAUGGUGGUGCAACAACCCAAAACUUUUGUAGUUAUGGUGGACAACACUCUCAUGGCUUGGAGCAAUGUAAGAAUGCAUGCAACCAAACACAGAGUAAUGGUGAAAGGAGAAAAAGAUAGUUAUAUGGGUACUCUUAUGGAUCCUCUGCUAUUUCUGUCUUUUAACUGCAGAGAUUAUAUUUUGUAUCUUAUGGCCAAUUUCUACCUUGAUUCUGCACUCGAUUCCUUUGAAGUUUGGAGACUUUCAUCUGAGAACCUUAUUAGUGAUGUCAGGAUUUUAAGGCUCCGCCGACCUCUGAAAGGGCAUUUGGAGUGUAUCCAAAGGCGCAUUUCGUUAGAAAUAUCGACUCAAUGCUACAACAUCCUCCAAACGCAAAAUGUUGUUGGAGUAUUGGAUUGUUAUAGUGCAAGGGUUCAAGCAACGUGCAACAGGGAACAUGGAUGAUCCAUUUCUAAUCCCUGGUAUAUAUCUGAUAAGAAGCAGUAAUAGACUUGCUUGGAAACUUGUUCGAAGACCCUUUUUGAGGCGGCAGUUAGGGUAUCGAGGCUUGGCGGUGUUCCCUGUAGAAUGGCGGAAAACAUGUGGCUCCGUACUCAUCUCAUCCAAGAUUUGAUCUCUAUUUCUCGAACAAGUGUUCCUAAAUACCCAAGGCUGGUGUUGUGAAGUUGGAUACUUCGUUGUCGUUGAUGACUUAGAGCUCGAUGAGACAAGGAAGUGGGUGUCGCUCUCUUUGCGACUGAUGGUAAUUUUCUCAGAUUCUGUAAGAACGUUGAAUUGGGAUUCAAGACUGCCCGAGAACCUGUUGAAGAUCUGUGAUAACCCUUGAAUACUUAGAAGUGAAAAUCAUAGUGGGAGAAGAAACUUGGACAUUUUGGUUUUCAUUGUAGUUUUCUUAUGGCACCCUUUCCAGCCAACGGCGGAAAAUCUAAACUACUACAACUCUGAAUCCAGAAAUGCUACUUAAAUGUCUGAAUUCAUUAUAAUUGAAUGCUGUCUUUCUUUUUUUGUGAUUUUGAAUCCAAAAAUGAAUUCAGUUAUGAAAUGUUAUGAGUGCAGUCAUGAAUUGGUAUAACAAUGAACUACUAUUUGAAUUUAUAAAUCCAGGUCUGAUUUUAGUGUAA